rnacentral:lncRNA from 1 species
CUGUGUUAUUCUGUUGUUUUCAAGUAUUGAUCCCCUUCCCAUAUCCCUCAUUUUGGAUGCUUUUGUUCACUCCAGAACUUGCAGAUGGUACAACUUCUUGCAGUUUCUGUGGCUCUCUCCUCAUGAAAGGAAACUUAAAAGAGGCAAAUUUGGACCAAUUGCAAUCCUCAUCAGCUCAUUUGAUCUCUGGAACAUAAAAGGUACAUGAUCCUUCUCCAUUAUCCAUUCCAAGUUUCCUCAAAAUAUCACAUUUACAUAUCUCAAUAGCUUAUCAACCUAAUUUAUGCAGAUCUUAAUGGCUUUCCCAACAGAACACUCCAUGUACCCAACAUUGCCUUUCCCCAAAUCUCAUUUCCAGAGUGCCUCAUUGAUUGAGCAAUCAUACACUUCUUAGGAUUAAGUUAUUAUAUGUACCACUCACAUUUAUAACAGCGAAGAAUGCUAAGAACCACCUUGAGCAAUACAUAUUUCACUUUGCUCCCUAUUACAAAAUAAGCCUUAUUUUGUCCUCCUAAUCAGAGCCAAUUACUCAGGUCAAUAUGCUGACUCUUCCCUUUUAAACCCUGGAAACAAGUAGACAAAAGUGAUGAAGCAGUAUCUGUAGCCUGUAGUUCAAAGCUAUCCAUUUCAUGACUACUGUCAAGAGAACAUCUUCUUUGUGAAUCCACAUCUUUAAGAAAAGAGAUUCCAGACUUAACUGAUGGAAGGCACAAAUCCUCCAAUGGAUCACUGGGGGUGAUAGGUGGGGUCAUGCUUGCUUCAACCUCUUGGUUUUCAGACCCAUAAUACAGAACAAUGUAAAGGUCUCAACUUCACACCAUGACUGAAUGACAGCACCCAUCAACCCAGAAUUUUGCCUUAGAAUUUGUGCCUCAGUUGUGCCCUCAGAAACCAUUCAAAUGCUUCACUGUUAAAAUGUGUUUAGAUUUUUCCUCUUAUUACUGGUUCUCGG